rnacentral:lncRNA from 1 species
GGCUCCGCUCUGACGACCCUCUCCUAGCCAUCCCAUCGCUUCUCGGAUGCUCAUGGCCAUGGCUGGAGAAAUAGAGCCAAAAGAGAAGUUCCGGGCAGACCUUUGGCGCUGAGCCUCGUAGCAACAGCCUGCUCCUUGGCUCAACUGGUGGAAACAAGUUGCCGAAGAUGAAGGAAGAUAGAGAAGAAGUUGCUGGGUGCUUAUCUCCUCCCACAUAGGUGGACAGGUUGAGUGUCCCACUGGGAUGAGAACUGAAAACGAAGCCAAUGAUCCACAAGUACAGGGAGCCUGGACCUGAAGAUGAGACUCUGUGUUUACCUAACGUGAGGCAGUGGCUUUAAUGUCACGUAGUUCUCUCUCCCUGGAGAUCAGUGACCUUGCCACCUUUGCGGUAGGUUCUUCAGGGCAAAUGUGAGGGAGCCUCAGCCUAGACUCCGCCUUGAAGACUGCUUGCACGUGCUCAUUACCAACGGAUGCUCCAGAGAUUUUAAGAAAUCAGGGCUGAGGGAAGAUGCCUGCCUAACCCGUCCCUCACACUGCUGCAUAUCCUUGGGAAGGAAAAGAGAAAGUCACUGUAGAGAUAUUCCAAGAAAAACGGACUUAAUUUUGAAUAGAGCAACUGAAUUCAAGUGAAGAGUAAGGACGAAGCGAAUUGCUGCCACUCCCCAUCCAGCAAGAACGAGCAGAAACGUGUGCCGGAGUCUACCAGGAGGUCUCUCCUGGCAGGUAAGCCCCAGAAAAGUCAUCCAAGUGUCCUGUAGACUCACCCUCUGUUCCAACAACUAUUUUCAUGUGUGCUGAAACAUCCGUUCACAGCAAACGUCAAUUUAGUCCUGAAGGGGAGCAUCAGUUGCCAAGAAAGCAUAGUGUGCAGGCUCCGGGGUCGUGUGGACAGGACGUGGGCGAGCCCGGCUCUUUCCCUUGGACACCGGAAACCCUGUGUGACCG